rnacentral:rRNA from 1 species
AGAAAAUAGAUACCCAGGUAGUCCACGCUGUAAACGAUGGGUACUAGGUUUGGUGGGUCUUGACCCCUGCUGAAACCGGCGCUAAACGCACUAAGUACCCCGCCUGGGAAGUACGGUCGCAAGACUAAAACUCAAAGGAAUUGACGGGGGCCCGCACAAGCGGUGGAUCAUGUGGUUUAAUUCGAAGCAACGCGAAGAACCUUACCUGGAUUUGACAUCUCCUGACAACCCUAGAGAUAGGGCUUCUGUAGCAAUACAGCAGGAUGACAGGUGCUGCAUGGCUGUCGUCAGCUCGUGUGGUGACAUGUUGGGUUAAGUCCCGCAACGAGCGCAACCCUUGUCUUUAGUUGCCAGCAUUCAGUUGGGCACUCUAAAGAGACUGCCGUGGUUAACACGGA